rnacentral:rRNA from 1 species
GAUGAACGCUAGCUACAGGCUUAACACAUGCAAGUCGAGGGGUAACGAGAGGAAAGCUUGCUUUCCUUGUCGACGACCGGCGCACGGGUGAGUAACGCGUAUCCAACCUGCCCCCAACUAGGGAAUAACCUUGCGAAAGUAAGACUAAUACCCUAUAAUUUCCUCAGAUGCCAUCUGACGAGGAAUAAAGAUUUAUCGGUUGUGUAUGGGGAUGCGUCUGAUUAGCUUGUUGGCGGGGUAACGGCCCACCAAGGCAACGAUCAGUAGGGGUUCUGAGAGGAAGGUCCCCCACAUUGGAACUGAGACACGGUCCAAACUCCUACGGGAGGCAGCAGUGAGGAAUAUUGGUCAAUGGGCGGAAGCCUGAACCAGCCAAGUAGCGUGCAGGAUGACGGCCCUGUGGGUUGUAAACUGCUUUUAUACAGGAAUAAAGUUAGCCACGUGUGGUUAUUUGUAGGUACUGUAUGAAUAAGGACCGGCUAAUUCCGUGCCAGCCGCCGCGGUAA